UGCAAAACCAGCUAGUCCUUUAGCUCUGGCUCUCAGAAGCUUGAGGUAGGAGGGGAGUGUGGACAUUUAGGGAAGAGGAAGAGCUUGUACUCCCAAGGCCUGGGGCCGAGAGGGGCCCUCAGGUUGCCCACUCUCACCUCUACCUGCAGACUCCCAGUCAAUGUUUGAGUUUCCCAGAUGGAGGAGGUGAGGCUCUCCUCCUCUGCCAGGUUCAGUCCCUCAGACCUCCCUUGUGGGGCCCCAGAAAAUAAACUGCUCUUGGAGCCAAGGAUGAGGCCUCACCAGAGAGAACCAGCCCAGAGGCAGCCGCACAGCCUUCCUGGCCAGCACUUUGUCUGGCUGACCCCCUUUCAGGAGCUUCUGGGCAGAGUCUGCCUUGAAGGGAUCAGCCUCCUGGGGGCGGGGAGUGAAGUAGGGACUGGGAGUAAGAAGGCUGCGUGGCUGUCGUCCUCUGUGGCCUCGCUGAUGGGGUGGGCCCCGUCCUUCCACCUGCACAGUAGAAAGUGCCUGCACUGGGGGGUUGCCCAGAGGGGGCCCCUUCAGGCCAAGGUCAGAGGUCCUCCAGCCCCAGGGCCUCUCUGCUGGGGGCUCAUGCUUGGGCAGAGCUCAGCUUUCAGCCUAGGCUCCAGCUGGAAGACCAGGCUCAGGAAGACCACUUGCAGAGAGCUGCUGCUGGGGGCAGGAGGUACAGGCAGGAAACAUGGGUGCUGGCCCUACCUGCUGACCCCGGGCCUCAGGGCUGGGCAUGGCCUUCAGUUGCAUCUCAGGGCUUCUGGAAAGAGGCAGGCCCUCCCCGCCUCCUUCAGAGGGAGCCCUGGGCAUGGUCACAGCAGUGGGCAGCUGACUGGUGACAGGGUUCGUUUGCCACCUUGGACCUCGAGCCAUCCCCCUGUGCCCUGAAUCCCAGCACAGGGUUACUUGCAAGGAAAGGAGCCCCUCACUGUGGCCCCUUCCUCAUCCAGAACCAAGGUAACAUCGCUUCCCUCCCUGCCACCUUCACAGUCCCAAGAUGUCAGAGCCUAGGACCUCGGGAUCUCCUGCUACCCAUCCUCUGCAUGGAGCAGCCUCGCUCUCAGAGUGUAGCCUAGAACUCGGGUCACCUUGGGCUCCCUGCUUUUACUCCCUACCCUACCACCAUGCCCCCUGCCCCUUCCCCCACGCGGGCCCCAUCCCCUCACCUGGACAUCUGAUUGACCUUGGCCUGGGCUUCCAUGGCCCCAAGCACCCUCCUGCUGUGGUCAGAGGCUGCUGUGAGAGGUCCCUUGUGGUCCCUCCCCAACUCUGACACCUUCCAGGGUUGAUGUGCCCUCAGGCAGUUGUCUAAGGCCUCCAAAGCUCCACAGGCUUCUCCAGCACCUUCUGCUCCCAGGAGCCCUCUGUCUAGGCCGACCCUUCUGUGCUUCCCCUGUUUAUUGACCCUGCCCUUGUAUUCGUGUCCCUUAGAGCCCCAAGAAUGACCAGCUGACAGCUGAGGACUGGCCCCAGCUAGUCCCCAGCUCAUCAUGCCCUCUGGCAAGGAGUUCCAACCCCACCAUCUGCCUGCCUACCUGCCUGCGAGGUUCCUGUUUCUGCAGAAAGGCUUGCCCUGCCCCAGCCUCAGACCCAGGCUAGUGCUCAAGGUGUGCUGGCCAGGGGGGGCUGGUCACCUCUGAGCCUUAGUACCCUGUCAAAUGGGGACUUGGACUUGGGUAAGAGAAAAUGGGGAUGUGUAAGACAACACAGGCAGCCUCGUCUGCCCCCUCUCCCAGCCAGAGGAGAGUGGCUUAAUCUCCUUUGUUUAUAAGUUACCCAGGAACAGGAGCAGUGGGGGAAGGAGGGCCAGGAAGUGUCCCAGCCACCAGACUGGAGGAGGGGUCUGUGGCCUGGGCUGAAGGGGGACCGGAGGGGCAGGUGUUUUACACUCACAGGAGGAGGAGCUGGCGGGCAAGGAAUAGGGAUCCUGACUCCUGAGCCAGAAGGUGGAGUGGGGGUGGGGGUGUGAGGUGCCCCAGGGACACGGGCCCCAGCAGGCGUGGAGCUGGAGGAAGCUCCUAAUUCAUAUUGAAUUCAGUUCCCUCCACUCUGGGGGGCUGCCGGGCCGGGGCCUCAGGGACCUCUGACCCUGCACCUGGACAGGGGUGGGGAGGGCCUCAGCGCAAGGAUGCCGUUGCAUUUGGGUUUUUCACAUUGCCUAUUUAUGAAUAUAUGAAUCUUUAUAUCAAAUCUAUUUUUUAAAACAUGGAAACGUUGCCUUUAUGGAGACUUCGCAGAGCCAGAGCGUACACAUUCCUAAACCAUUAAACGUUUCUGUAAUGAGCCAAUGGCCCCAGACUGGUUUUCUCAGCUUGGAGCCCAGAGCAUGCCGAGGGGCCUCCUCUCUACAAAUGUGUCACCCUCCUGGAUGGCUUCCCCUGACUGGCCCCCAGGCCUGCCCACUGCCCAUUGCUUGGAGCCCCGUUGAGACCCUCCCUCUGUUCAGACCCAUGAGGGGAUCCCCACCCCCACCUCCUACCAUGAAGAAGCAAUCAGGGCCUCAGGGAUACCUGUGAACUUCUCUGGGCCCCAGGCUCCUUCAGCUGGCUUUAUGUUGGGGAGGUGGUUGGGGACCAAGCCCAGUAUCCCUCAUGCAUCUCCAUGCCUGGGAGGGAUGUGUUGCCAGCCCUCUACCCUUGAUUUUUUUCAGGUGCGCCAACAUGCCCAGGGCUGGGAGUCUGUUCGUGUGCCCUGUGGUCCUGGGCAGGCAGGCUAUUAUUCCAAGUCAGGACCUGAGAUGCCCUGGCAGGUCUGGGUUGUUCCCCUACACCGCCCCCCCCAACACACAUAUCGCCCCGACCAGCGUGGGGCGCGGAGCCAGGCACACAGUAGGCUCAAGGAGCUGCUGAGUGCCUGGAUCAGGGCCCUGAUCCCAAAGUCCACGAAUCCAUAGCCCCCCAAAAUAAUAGGGGGUCUCUGCUGAUGGGGAGGGCAUGGCCCCCAUCUGUCCCUCCUGCUCAGGACAGACUGACACUGGGGGGUCAGACCAACCUCCACUCUAACCCCAGGUCUCCCUGGACUGGCUAGUGACCCUGGACGAGAUAUUUCUCUGUCAGAGCCUAGUUUCCUCAUGUGGGACACCAGCUCCUGUGCUGCCCGCCUCCCUUCCUGGGAAGCCCCAGGGUGCAUGUUAAAGUGUGUGCAUGUGCAUGUGUGUGCGGUGGCAGGGGUGUAUUUGUCUGUAAACUUAAGGGCUGGGGCAGUGUCUCCUGUUUCUCACUGCCAGAGUCAGGAAGUCCUGGAGCCUGGAUGUUCCAGAUGGGCUGCUCUCCAGGCACCUGCCACCAUCUUUGCAGGGACGAGAAAGUCCUGCUGUAUGAAUGGCCUGCUCUCCCUGAAGGCAAGGAGACCUUGGAAGAAAAGCCCAUCCCCAGGCCAGUCUGAGCCAGGCUCCCAUGACCCCAGGAGCUCGGACCCGGGCGAGGCUGUCCCUCCCUUGCCUCUGCCCACCCCAGGGGACUGCCCAGACCUGAGUAAACUCAGAGGGCACCAGGCCCACUCCUGGACUCUGAGAUGGGAUACCAAGGCCGGGGCCCAGAGGACCUGCCUGUGCCUGUGAAGUGACUAUGGGCCUGGGCCUGAGUGCCCCUCCACAUGGUCCAGAAAGACAGUACCUCCUCACCCAGUUUGCAGAAAAAGACCCCUUUGUGUGGCUUCAUGCAGGGCCUCCCACAUACUAAGUGCCCUGCAAGUGGAUGCCAGAUGAUUCAUUCCUAAGGCAGAAACCAAACUCUCAGCCUGUGGACUAUUCUUGUCAAUUAAUAUGUUUUUAUUUGUUGAAGUAUAUUUUAAAAAAAUUAAAUUUAGUUGCCAAUACUUGAAUAAUUCAGAGAUUCUAUGUAAAAAUCUAGUUUCCCAGCCUCUCUGGAGAAAUGGAACACUAGGCACCUGGUGCACCUCUCCACAUGGCAACAUUCAGCUGGGCCGCCAGGUGGAAGGCAGGCACUGUGGCUUCUCAAGUCCCUACCACUCCCUCUGUCCACCUGCCCCAAGUUUGGGCUCCUCUUCCAGCCUCACCUCUAUGGGCCAGUGACCUCCAGUGCUGCUCUGUGUCCCUUUGGCCUUCCUGUGUCACCCUCUGACCCACAGGUCUGUCACUUGGCCCUCCUUGAGAGGGGGACCUUGGUAUAAUUGAUUUGGUUGUUAUCUGAUAUGGUGGAGAAAAGUAUUACUGAACUGCUGGCACCAGAUUCUUCUCUCUUGUUUGGAGAUUUGGGUGACUUUUUUUGGGGGUAGGGGAGAGCUCAGACCUUGAGGGUGUCUGACCCUAGCACGAAGAGGGGGGGCUGCUUCCACAGGAAAGGGAGGAAUUUGUUGUUUUGUUUCUGGGGAAGAGUGCAGAGGAGGAAAAGGAGAGAGAGAGAGAGCAGAAGAUGACAAAAGAUGGGGUGCCCUCAUGGCCAGAACAGAGAGUCAAAGGCCAUUUGGGAAACAGUGAUGUGCCUUCCAAGGCCUGUCUGUCACAGAGACAGGUAUAGCCCAUCGCCUUCCACUUGGGGUCCAUGCGUCCUCUCUGCUCACUGCUGUGUCUGAAGACAAGGUUUCCUGGAGCUUGGAGAGGGGCUGGAUAUUGACUGGAGGUUGGUCUGGGCUGCGAGAGGCCAUGUAGGAAGCAGAUGCUGCCCCUUUGAGAGGGUAUCCCAGGACCCAGUCUCCCAGGACCCGCAGGCGCAGGGGAAGGGCUAGGAGUGUCCAGAGAUUGUGGAACUGCAGGUGCCUGGAGAGGGGCGUGGAGGUGGGACAAAUCAUGGUACUAGGAACUUGGAGCGGGUGCACAACAGAGAAGCCCCAACUGAGGGACGCUGGUUUCCAGAAGGAGCCAGGCUCCGGUGCUAAUGGGAAACCCAUCUCUGAGCUGCCGGUUUAUUUUGGGCUCCGGGGGCGGUAGCACCGCCCAGGGCCUAGACGGUGCACAGCAGG
rnacentral:lncRNA from 1 species